rnacentral:rRNA from 1 species
UACAGAGGGGGCAAGCGUUAUUCGGAAUUAUUGGGCGUAAAGGGCGCGUAGGCGGCUUGGCAAGUGGAUGGUGAAAUCCCUCGGCUUAACCGAGGAACUGCCGUCCAAACUGCUUCGCUUGAGACCGGGAGGAGGUGAGUGGAACUGCGAGUGUAGAGGUGAAAUUCGUAGAUAUUCGCAAGAACACCAGUGGCGAAGGCGGACUCACUGGCCCGGUACUGACGCUGAGGUGCGAAAGCGUGGGGAGCAAACAGGGAUUAAGAAACCCU